rnacentral:rRNA from 1 species
GAUGAACGCUGGCGGUGUGCCUAAUACAUGCAAGUCGAGCGGAAGGACGAGAAGAUUGUUCCCUUGAUGUUAGCGGGGGGCGGGUGAGUAAGGCGUACAUCACAUUCUUCUUUGUCUGGGGUGAUAACGGGAAACAGGUGAUACUAAUGCAUCAUACUUUGUACCGCUUGGUUCAAGAGUUCUUGACGCUUUUCCCGUUUCUAUUAGCCGGUUUCGUGUUGGAUUAGCUAGUUGGUAAGGUCACGGCAAACCAAGGCAACGAUGCGUAGCUGACCUGAGAGGAUGAUCGGCCACACUGGAACUGAGACACGGUCCAGACUCCUACGGGAGGCAGCAGUAGGGAAUCUUGCACAAUGGGCGAAAGCCUGACGGAGCAACACCGCGUGGGUGAAGAAGGUCUUCGGGUUGUAAAGCUCUUUUAUUAGGGAAGAACAGAUGUGGAUUAAACCGCGCAUGUCUUGACGGUACCUAACCAGAAAGCCACGGCUAACUACGUG